rnacentral:sRNA from 1 species
UUCUAGCCCCGAUUGAAGUGGAAAUCCUUUGCUUCAAGCUAACAGGUUUAAAGUAUAUAGGCUUGAAGCAAAGAUUGGAGCGAAAAGCGGGAACAUGG